CUGGCCGAUUAUGGUGCUAAACCCAUUGGGGCGGCUUUGGGUCGUGACAGGUGCGUAGAUCCCGGAAAUCUCUGAGUCCGCAAGUGUUCUGGGACUCAUUAAUAGAGCGACUUCUAGAUUACAUCUAAAUCCAUUCGAAGCCAAGCGCUUCGGAUCUCUAAGUUCGUGGUUUCGAACCCUUUCAAGACUUAGAGCAAUUCGGCCUAUUUGAUGGCGAUAAAUCCGGACCCACCAAUCUUGCAUUUGCGAUAAAUUUGGGCCCACCAACCUUGGACUAUUAGGCCUAAUUAAUUUAGUGGGCUCAAAUUAGCUCCUCUUACAGUAUCAAUUUAAGUCACUAUCCCUUGUUCUUGAGAUGAUAGAACUACAUAACGAUUCUAAUUGUAAUUUGUUAUGCUCAUAUUCUCUCAGUUAAUGCUUGCCUUUGUCUACAAAUUGGCAAUAUAGCAUUCUGUUGCCUUUUCUUCUAUUUCGUCAUUUCCUUAUCAAGUUUGUGUAUUCAUGUGCAGAGUAUUGCAUGUGAAGCAAAAAGAAUCAUUCGGUUUAUAGUUUUGUGUCACAAAGAUUAAGCAGUGCUCAAGAUUUGCAAGUGCUUCAGGAUUGCGAGAAUUUGAUGAAUCUUUCUACUCUGAAAGCAAUACAACACCUCACCAAUUUAUGAUCUUUGCAUACUUAUAAUGGAAAGAUGUGCAAGGGAAAGCAGACAAGAAAACCAACUGCCAAUUGCCAAGAAAACUAGUACUUUGGCGAUUUUCAUUCCCAUAAUUUCAGACAUCAGCAGCAGCGCCAACCAUAUCUUGAUACAAUUUGCUUAUCAUUCAUCACAGUGGCGGUGCCAGUAGUGGCAACAAACACAUCAUUGAGCUCUACUCUCGGAGGUUUAUAUUGACAAAGAAAAUGGUACAAGUGCUUCAAAGAUUUGGCUUUUAUGCAUUAUAAUUUUCUAAAUAUUUGUAGUAGACGUUGAGUCAUCUGAGGUCUCUUGAUUCUAUUGUGAAAUCUAUUCUUCUUCUUUUUUUAGUAGUAACUUUAGUUCAUAAAACAGAAGUCAUUGAAAGGAGUGUAUUUGCUUUCUUUAGUUGAAGUCAGGAUCAUUCUUUUGAACAAAAGUAAAAGCAUUCAUAUUCAACACAACAGCGAAAUACUCCAAAGAGAUCUCGCAAGUAGUGGUUGUUAUUUUUUGGACCAAUUUUGA